CGGUAACAGGAAGAAGCUUGCUUCUUUGCUGACGAGUGGCGGACGGGUGAGUAAUGUCUGGGAAACUGCCUGAUGGAGGGGGAUAACUACUGGAAACGGUAGCUAAUACCGCAUAACGUCGCAAGACCAAAGAGGGGGACCUUCGGGCCUCUUGCCAUCGGAUGUGCCCAGAUGGGAUUAGCUAGUAGGUGGGGUAACGGCUCACCUAGGCGACGAUCCCUAGCUGGUCUGAGAGGAUGACCAGCCACACUGGAACUGAGACACGGUCCAGACUCCUACGGGAGGCAGCAGUGGGGAAUAUUGCACAAUGGGCGCAAGCCUGAUGCAGCCAUGCCGCGUGUAUGAAGAAGGCCUU
rnacentral:rRNA from 2 species